AUUGAACGCUGGCGGCAGGCUUAACACAUGCAAGUCGAGCGGAGAUGAGGUGCUUGCACCUUAUCUUAGCGGCGGACGGGUGAGUAAUGCUUAGGAAUCUGCCUAUUAGUGGGGGACAACAUUCCGAAAGGAAUGCUAAUACCGCAUACGUCCUACGGGAGAAAGCAGGGGAUCUUCGGACCUUGCGCUAAUAGAUGAGCCUAAGUCGGAUUAGCUAGUUGGUGGGGUAAAGGCAUACCAAGGCGACGAUCUGUAGCGGGUCGGAGGGGAUGAUCCGCCGCACUGGGACUGAGACACGGCCCAGACUCCUACGGGAGGCAGCAGUGGGGAAUAUUGGACAAUGGGGGGAACCCUGAUCCAGCCAUGCCGCGUGUGUGAAGAAGGCCUUAUGGUUGUAAAGCACUUUAAGCGAGGAGGAGGCUACUGAGACUAAUACUCUUGGAUAGUGGACGUUACUCGCAGAAUAAGCACCGGCUAACUCUGUGCCAGCAGCCGCCGUAACAC
rnacentral:rRNA from 1 species